rnacentral:rRNA from 1 species
AGCGGAGGAAAAGAAACCAACAGGGAUUGCCCUAGUAACGGCGAGUGAACAGGCAAGAGCUCAGAUUUGAAAGGCACUUUUGUGCCGUUGUAUUCUGAAGUUAGGGUCCUGAGAAACGAUGCUUAAGUCUUCUGGAAAGGAGCGCCAUGGAGGGUGAUAGCCCCGUCUAGCAUUGACCUCAUAUAGGAUCUUAACAUGGAGUCGAGUUGUUUGGGAAUGCAGCUCAAAUGGGUGGUAUGCUCCAUCUAAAGCUAAAUAUCUGCGAGAGACCGAUAGUAAACAAGUACUGUGAGGGAAAGAUGAAAAGAACUUUGAAAAGAGAGUGAAAAAGUACGUGAAAUUGUUGAAAUGGAAGGGUAGGCCGCUAACCAUGUAGAGCCGUGUUUGGGGGGAAGAUAAAUGCUGUAGAAUGUAGCUCCUCGGAGUAUUAUAGAUGCAGUUCAUAUUCCCACCCGAGCGCGAGGAUCUCAGCUUCCUGCUUCCC